rnacentral:tRNA from 1 species
GCACGGGUAGCUCAGUGGUAGAGCGGCUGGUUUACACCCAGUUGGUCGGGGGUUCGAAUCCCUCCUCGUGCA